UAACGCGUGGAUAACCUGCCUCAUACAGGGGGAUAACAGUUAGAAAUGACUGCUAAUACCGCAUAAGCACACGGGAGCGCAUGCUCCUGAGUGAAAAGCUCCGGCGGUAUGAGAUGGAUCCGCGUCUGAUUAGCUGGUUGGCGGGGUAACGGCCCACCAAGGCGACGAUCAGUAGCCGACCUGAGAGGGUGGCCGGCCACAUUGGGACUGAGACACGGCCCAAACUCCUACGGGAGGCAGCAG
rnacentral:rRNA from 1 species